ensembl:lncRNA
ACUGAAAAUCAGUGUGAAAGUGAUUGCAUAGAGGAGCACAUACAGCUCUCACCUGGCAGGAUUUUCCUGGAUGGAAAGAACAUUUUGGCGCAAGGGGCAAAUCAAAACUCACCACAUUUCCAUGCCCCUGAAAUCUUGCUCUCCUGGCAGUACAUUAAACUGAAGUGAUUCUGAUCCUUGAUGAGACAGGAAAGAAAGGCUCUGAAGUAGUGAAGGACACCACCUGCAUCAUUAAGAAUGGCUACAGUGUGGGCCCAGGCUGUCAACGCAUGAUGAACAAGGAACCCGUUCAGAUUACGAUGGUUACCAUAUCUUUAAGCAAGGUCAAGAGAAUCAUAUAAAAUGUGUAGAAUGAUCAGUAUGUGAAGACCGUGUUCCAAGAACCUGAGACACGCUGCACAUCAGACUCUUCAGACAGAAGCAGAAAUCUGGACUGUUAUUAUUUUUAUUCUGUGCUUCAGGUCACUGGUUUGGUGUUCAGAUAAUAGAAAUGACUUGAAUAUUUUCUUUAAUGAUAUCUGAAAAUAACAAAUAAAAAUUUUCAGCCAAGUGUCUUUUCUGUUUGCACUAACCCAGAGUCUUAAAUGUCCAUUUUCCC